rnacentral:rRNA from 1 species
AUUGAACGCUGGCGGCAUGCUUUACACAUGCAAGUCGGACGGCAGCGCGGGCUUCGGCCUGGCGGCGAGUGGCGAACGGGUGAGUAAUACAUCGGAACGUGCCCAGUAGUGGGGGAUAGCUCGGCGAAAGCCGGAUUAAUACCGCAUACGAUCUGAGGGUGAAAGCGGGGGACUUUAGGGCCUCGCGCUAUUGGAGCGGCCGAUGGCAGAUUAGCUAGUUGGUGGGGUAAAGGCCUACCAAGGCGACGAUCUGUAGCUGGUCUGAGAGGACGACCAGCCACACUGGGACUGAAACACGGCCCAGACUCCUACGGGAGGCAGCAGUGGGGAAUUUUGGACAAUGGGCGCAAGCCUGAUCCAGCAAUGCCGCGUGUGUGAUGAAGGCCUUCGGGUUGUAAAGCACUUUUGGCAGGAACGAAAAGUGCCGUGCUAAUACCACGGUACGAUGACGGUACCUGCAGAAUAAGCACCGGCUAACUACGUG